UCACGUCCUAGUAGGAGGGAGUUAUAAAAGCUAAGRAAUCAUCUCGCGUCAAACUAUCCAUCACUACGUCCAAGCUAUCAAGASCAUCAUGGUUUCAAAGCAAACUACCCUCGCGUUUUUCUUGGUGGCCUUUGUCUGUCUUAUCCAGUUAGGAAAGAGUCGACAUCGACACCCUGCGCCCAUCGCACCGCCCAUAGAAGUCUGCAUCUUCGAGAGAAGGGUCUACAACGUUGGUGAGAAGUUUGUCGAUUCAAAGUGUACAAUGAGAUGCACGUGCCACAGAAAAAAUCGAGUAGCAUGCUCUUCACUUUGUCCCCCGUCGACGAUAAGAUGUCAAAGUAACCAGACUUUAACACAGAAAAUAGUUCCAGCAGGUCCCAAAAAUCAAUGCUUUUGUAGUCGGUCGAUUUGUGUUGAUAACAUUGACGUUUGAAUUUUAACCAUUAAAAAUAACAAACAUA